rnacentral:lncRNA from 1 species
GUGAAGAAUGUCAUUAUGCAGGACUGUACAUGUUCGAAUUUGAAAUUAAAAAAGAUACAAAUGAUGAUAACACUUCUAAUAUUACUCAACCUUAUCAGUUUAUUAAAGCAGUGGCGGAUCCAACACCUGAUGAGGGGGCGCAACCACGUGUGUUGGAUACGCAGGAUUUUACAGCGGAUGCCAGGCCGCCAGGUGGAAUUUACAGAGGCACCUGAUGGAAAAAGGGGAGGAGAAAGGAAAAUUGCUUUUUGGGGUUUUUUUUGUUUAAGUUUUAGGCCUUUUUUGUGCCUCCUUCUUUUAAAUGAAAUGAGGCCCAAAUCCCAAUUCUAACCCACAAUUAGUUAACAAUCCAAUUGAAAAAAUAGAUUUCAUUUGCAAUUUACAGACCUUUGUUCUUCCCUGUAAGGUUGUGAUUGCGAACCCAACAAACAACGAACAACAAAACAUUGACACUAUGAUUGCUGUCGUCGGCAACGAGGUGAAUUAACCUCUUCGUCUCCACCAGACCGCUAUUGUAUCUAGGCUCCAGCUCUCCGUCUCUGACUAUAACAAUAACUGGUAAGUCCGAUAGCCUAUUUUUUUGUAUGUUAGCUUAUCUUAUCUUGCUAGAGAGAGAGAUUUUUUGGGAUUGUGAGAAUU